rfam:Neotoma lepida isolate 417 scaffold_928, whole genome shotgun sequence.
AUACUUAACUGGCAGGGGAGAGACCAUGAUGAUGAAGGUGGUUUUCCCAGCAUGAAGUGGAACCAUCAAACUCCAGAUGUGUUGACCCCUGUGACUUCUCCAAAUGUGGAAAACUCAACUGUGCAAUUGUUGUAGUGAGCAACUGUAUUCAAACUCUCCCCUG